rnacentral:rRNA from 1 species
GAUGAACGCUGGCGGCGUGCCUAAUACAUGCAAGUCGAGCGAACGGACGAGAAGCUUGCUUCUCUGAUGUUAGCGGCGGACGGGUGAGUAACACGUGGAUAACCUACCUAUAAGACUGGGAUAACUUCGGGAAACCGUAGCUAAUACCGGAUAAUAUUUUGAACCGCAUGGUUCAAAAGUGAAAGACGGUCUUGCUGUCACUUAUAGAUGGAUCCGCGCUGCAUUAGCUAGUUGGUAAGGUAACGGCUUACCAAGGCAACGAUGCAUAGCCGACCUGAGAGGGUGAUCGGCCACACUGGAACUGAGACACGGUCCAGACUCCUACGGGAGGCAGCAGUAGGGAAUCGUCCGCAAUGGGCGAAAGACUGACGGAGCAACUCCGCGUGAGUGAUGAAGGUCUUCGGAUCGUAAAACUCUGUUAUUAGGGAAGAACAUAUGUGUAAGUAACUGUGCACAUCUUGACGGUACCUAAUCAGAAAGCCACGGCUAACUACGUG